rnacentral:rRNA from 1 species
UACGUAGGGGGCAAGCGUUGUCCGGAUUCAUUGGGCGUAAAGAGCGUGUAGGCGGCCAGGUAGGUCGGUUGUGAAAACUGGAGGCUCAACCUUCAGAGGUCGACCGAAACCAUCUGGCUAGAGUCCGGGAGAGGAGAGUGGAGUUCCUGGUGUAGCGGUGAAAUGCGCAGAUAUCAGGAAGAACACCCGUGGCGAAAGCGGCUCUCUGGAACGGUACUGACGCUGAGACGCGAAAGCGUGGGGAGCGAACAGG